rnacentral:tRNA from 1 species
AAACAAGAAGACAAACUAUUGCACUUAAUUUCGACUUAAGCCUUUGAUAUAAAAUAUCCUUGUUUU